rnacentral:rRNA from 1 species
ACGGAGGGUGCAAACGUUGCUCGGAAUCAUUGGGCGUAAAGCGCGCGUAGGCGGCGAGGCAAGUUGGAUGUGAAAGCCCUGGGCUCAACCUAGGAUGUGCAUACAAAACUGCCUCGCUUGAAUCUCGGAGGGGGUCAGGGAAUUCCCGGUGUAGAGGUGAAAUUCGUAGAUAUCGGGAGGAACACCAGUGGCGAAGGCGCUGACCUGGACGAUGAUUGACGCUGAGACGCGAAAGCGUGGGGAGCAAACAGGA